rnacentral:rRNA from 1 species
UACGGAGGGUGCAAGCGUUAUCCGGAUUCAUUGGGUUUAAAGGGAGCGCAGGCGGGCAUGUAAGUCCGUGGUGAAAUACCUCAGCUUAACUGAGGAACUGCCAUGGAUACUAUAUGUCUUGAAUGUUGUGGAGGUUUGCGGAAUAGGUCAUGUAGCGGUGAAAUGCAUAGAUAUGACGUAGAACACCAAUUGCGAAGGCAGCAGGCUACACAAAUAUUGACGCUGAGGCUCGAAAGCGUGGGGAGCAAACAGG